AUUGAACGCUGGCGGCAGGCCUAACACAUGCAAGUCGAACGAGUGGCGGACGGGUGAGUAAUGUAUGGGAAACUGCCCGAUGGGGGGGGAUAACUACUGGAAACGGUAGCUAAUACCGCAUACCCUCGGAUGUGCCCAGAUGGGAUUGGCUCGUAGGGGGGGUAAUGGCUCAACUAGGCGACGAUCCCUAGCUGGUAUGUGAGGAUGACCGGCCAAACUGGGACUGAGACACGGUCCAGACUCCUACGUGAGGCAGCAGUGGGGAAUAUUGCACAAUGGGCGCAAGCCUGAUGCAGCCAUGCCGCGUGUAUGAAGAAGGCCUUCGGGUUGUAAAGUACUUUCAGCGAGGAGGCGUUACUCGCAGAAGAAGCACCGGCUAACUCCGUGCCAGCAGCCGCGGUAAUAC
rnacentral:rRNA from 1 species